UCCAAUUUCCAGGAUGUAGACUACUGGCACCAUUCAACUCCACAUCACUGGAGCGGGAGCAAACGUGAUGACUCUACAACAGCCUUCCUGCGACGAUGUUCAGCCUCAUCAGUCAGAUCUACCAGGCACAGAUCAGCAAGGAUUGUGAUCCACUUAUAUCACCCACCUUGGCUCUAAGAGGUGGACUACACAGCAAUAACGAUCAACAUCAGCCGGACUUCAGCAGAGACGAUGCUCCUCAUGAGUGGAUCCUGAAGGCAGACUGAUGGGGGCUUCAGCGGCUCAGCCCUAGCCAGGAAUUUCCAUCUUGGCCACCAACCAACCAACGGGGAGACGUACCUGAAGUUGUUGCGCAUUUGGAUAAAUCUGGACAGCAUCAUGUACACACUAUGGAACUGAUCAUCGCACGUGGAAGGCAAUUAUUUGGCCAGACGCCCCCCCCCCUCCACCUCGACCACUUCAGCUUUAGCUUAUUAGGAUUUGGAGCCACAAAGGAACUGGAUUGUUACACAUUUUUCAACUGGAUCGCGAAAUGAACCGAACUUAAAACCCGCGUAAUUUCUUGCGAUUCGACUCUACGGUUAAAUAAGAAUUGUUUCAAGUUUCCCAUACUUCUGACCUGUUGCUGAUGUGGAUGUCUUCAUUUGUCGUGCAAGAAGAAAGGGAUGCAAUGCCCAAACUGUUUAGACAUUUAUCUACAAAGGCCACGUGCGUUUGUGAACUCUGUACACUCGCGAGACCCUCUUCUAUGGAGAAACCAUUGUCCGUGCUUUGAACCUUUUCGCUUGAAGACUGAUGGAACUUUUCAUUGCCAGAACUUUCAUGCAGGGUGGUGGGAAAAAUUGAGACAGCUGAGUUUUGAAAUGUUUGAAAUUGGAAUUUUGUUAAGUUUUGGCUUGUUUUGGUUAAAAUGUUGAUUGUUUGCUGUUACGGCAUCCCUCUUUUUAUUCAAUGGUUUUCAUUUUCAUGGUGUUAACUCACAAUUAAUUCUUUGCUUAAAAAAUGAGAUAAUGCACACUUUGCAUCAUUUUAUUGAGCUAUCUAUAGGCCUGAUGGUUGGAACUGGAAUUUUUCUUCAGGUUUUUAAUUUCUGCAAACCGAUUUAAGAGGCAGAAAAAGAACAAUGAAAACCAUGGAAAUAAACAGAGAUGCCCUUAUAUUCUUUUAAUGUUACAUGUUGCAACUUGUAUAGAAAAAUAACCCAUUUCGAUAUUCGCAAUGCAUUUGAAGACUGAUAGAACUUAUCGUUAUCGGAACUUUCAUGAGUGGUGGUGGGAAAUAUUGAGACAGCUGAGUUUUCAAAUGUUUGAUAUUAGAAUUCUUUUUAAGUCAUGACUUAUUUUGGUUAAAAUUUUGAUACUUUUGCUAUUAGGGCAUCCCUCUUUUGUGGUUCUCAUUUCUCACAAUAACUUGUUGCAUAAACUCGGCAUAAAUUAACAGUCUGCAUAAUUUAACGAAGCCAUCUAAAGACAAAUUCCGCGGCAGCCAUUUUCUGCAAUGGUGCAAGGUUUGCACGUGUUGCGCUCAAGUGUGACGCAUGUGCUUCAGGCUCCUUCAACCAUGUGCUUGAGCUUAAAACCACUGCAGUAAAAGCUGCUAAUUCUGGUAGCCAGAUUCCAGUUUAUUGGUGGAUCAGAUUUUCUUCUGAUGUUUAUUUUCUGCAAACCGACCACUUCAGAGGCAAAGAAAACCAAAAACAAAAAAACCAAAAACUGUGAGAACUAUAAACAAUAAGGGAAACCCUCAUAUGAUGUAUGUUACAUGUUAUGAUCUAUGCAAUGUUAUAUGCUAUGAUCUAUGCAAAGAAAAAUACAGUCGAGUCUCGUUAUAACAAACUCGUUCAGACCCAGCCAAAUUGUUUGUUAUAUCAGAAUUUUGUAUUAAGAGGAACAUCAGUCCCUUUCAUUGUGCAUAUAAAUGCACAGUCGGGACUAAGACUUUAUGUUUGUUAUAACCAGAAUUUUGUACUAACAGAGUUUGUACUAACGAGAGUCGACUGUAACCUGUUUCGAUAUUUACAAUGCAUCUUGGAUAUGGAUGGCAAACCUAGCAAUAUGUACACAAGCAUGAACCAAUUAAAGAUGAACUUUAAUUAAUGGAAUCGUGCCAGAACUGUCCAAAGACAUCCUUGCCACUCUUGGUUUGCCAUGAUUACACUUGUGCCCGUCAAACAAUAUUAUGUUCUAAAGUACCAGUGAAAUGUAGGGCCAACUUGCUAGUACCUGCAUUGAAAUAAUUCCAACAGUUAAACUGAAAUCUUAAAUAUGAGUGACUUGAUUUAAAAUACAUUAACAGACUAAAUCUUGAUGAUGUUAGUCUUCAAGAACAUAGAUGUGUUAAACCAAGUCUUCAAAUUGAUUUAUAAUAAUCAAGAAAACUGAAGUAGCACAGUAAACCUAUCCCAUUUCAUGCUAAUAAAAGUAAAAUGAACUUCCACAAUUAUUAAUGAUGUUAAUUAUUGAUGCUUAAUUAAACUUCAAGGAUGUAAAUACCUAGAAUUUAGUCUUCAAAUUGAGUUGUUAAUAUUAGAAAACAUAGGUAGCACAGUAAACCUAACCCAAACCUAAGGUCAAUGCUUAUAUCUAAACAAAAAACCUUUUAAAUAUUCAUCAUGAUGUUUAACCCUCAAUGAUAUAGUUUCCUAGAACUAAGUCUUCAUAUUGAUUUAAAAUGGAUAUCAUCAGUAAACCAAACAUUAACCUAAGGUCAAUGCUACUAAAAUUACAAUAAAACUCUAAGGAAAAAAACAAUCUUUACGCUUGGAUCUCGAGAAAUGGAUGUCUAAAACUAAUUUCUUCAACCUGAUUUAAAGUAAACUAGACAACGGGCAGUACAGUGAAUGUAAACGAACCUGAGGUCAAACCUAAUUAAAGUAAAAUUAAAGUUUAAAUAUUAAGCAACUAUCUUGAGAGGGUAAAUCCAGUUUUGAAUACAAAUGCAAUGUACCGGUAGCAUCCAAGUAUGCCAAAGUCAUUUUGUAUCAACUGCACAAAAGUGUAGACCUGACCCUUGCAGUAUUUUUUGAGGUCAUUACCCUGCAUGGCUAUCAUUAACUAUCUUAACCACUAACCAGCAAAGACCCAUCAAAAUUCUGCAAUGACUUGAAAUAUUACAUGCUUUUGGGAACUUGUGCAAUUUGUUGCCUGUUUUUCAAAUCUGGAUUGCCACACAAGUAUUUUUGUAGUGUAAUAUGUACAAAAUUUAUGGAAAAGCAAAAGUCAACUCAGAAAAUCAAACAAAUUAGUCAACUUUACUAUUGGUACAAAAAGGAGAAGAAAUUUAAAGUUUUAAGAAAUACUUUCGGAACGUAGAUUAUAAAGAAAUAAUCUAAAUAUUCUAAAAAAGCACCAGGAAUUUGGAUUUUCUAACCAUAUAUUCUACUGAAAGGAAAUUUUAUUUUAAAAUCUUCAUACUUAGUAUGGACAGAAUUGAAAUCGAAGAACUUGGAUGAAAAUGAUUAAUAUGGUAAAAAGAUGAGCUGGACCUAACCAUUAAAUGGCACAUUAAGAGAAAUAAUGUAAAAAAACUGACCAGAAAAAACUGUAGAGCAUAAAUCUAAACACAUUUUAAAUGAACAAUGAACUUAUUUUCAGCAAUAACUGCGUGGUCUUUAAGUAAAGACAGAAGUCUUAAAAUGAUUCAAGUUGGCCCUGGACAAACUUGGAACUAUGACAAUAAGAACAGUCAAUUUAGAAGAAUGUGAAAGUCUUUGUGGAGAAAUGUUGAAAAUCACCCCCAAAUUGCUGCAGGAUAAACUUAAAACUCAAUACUUAAAUGCAAAGAAAACUGGCCCUUUUCAAUAUUCGCAGGGAAUCGCACUACAUCUUGGAUACAGAGGAUAAAAAUGUCAAGAUUAUUUCUGUAUUUUUAAGUUUAAAAAAGUGACAUUUAUUUAGAAAUCUAUUUUUUAUAUUCUAUGCAUUUACGGGUAUGAAAACUUCAUAGGUUUGUGCAUAAAUGGCAAUGCUUGUUUGUUACCCAU
rnacentral:lncRNA from 1 species